rnacentral:tRNA from 1 species
GGGGAUAUGGCGAAAUUGGUAGACGCUACGGACUUAAU